rnacentral:tRNA from 1 species
GUGGGUGUAGCUCAGUUGGCAGAGCACCAGGUUGUGAUCCUGGGUGUCGCCGGUUCAAGCCCGGUCACUCACC